GAUGAACGCUGGCGGCGUGCCUAAUACAUGCAAGUCGAGCGAACAGACGAGGAGCUUGCUCCUCUGACGUUAGCGGCGGACGGGUGAGUAACACGUGGAUAACCUACCUAUAAGACUGGGAUAACUUCGGGAAACCGGAGCUAAUACCGGAUAAUAUAUUGAACCGCAUGGUUCAAUAGUGAAAGACGGUUUUGCUGUCACUUAUAGAUGGAUCCGCGCCGCAGUAGCUAGUUGGUAAGGUAACGGCUUACCAAGGCGACGAUGCGUAGCCGACCUGAGAGGGUGAUCGGCCACACUGGAACUGAGACACGGUCCAGACUCCUACGGGAGGCAGCAGUAGGGAAUCUUCCGCAAUGGGCGAAAGCCUGACGGAGCAACGCCGCGUGAGUGAUGAAGGUCUUCGGAUCGUAAAACUCUGUUAUUAGGGAAGAACAAAUGUGUAAGUAACUAUGCACGUCUUGACGGUACCUAAUCCGAAAGCCACGGCUAACUACGUG
rnacentral:rRNA from 1 species